GACUUGGUGAUACUGAAAUUGAUGAAACCGAAAACAUAGAAACCAUUGCACAGACGAGAAGAGACUGUACUGGACCAGCUAUAAAAAAUAUAAUCCGACGUGUUUUAGAUGAACACGCACAAGUUGUACCGGAUGAUCCCGCUGUAGAACGGAUGUGUCG